rnacentral:rRNA from 1 species
CGCGAAGAACCUUACCUAGACUUGACAUCUCCUGCAUUACCCUUAAUCGGGGAAGUUCCUUCGGGAACAGGAAGACAGGUGGUGCAUGGUUGUCGUCAGCUCGUGUCGUGAGAUGUUGGGUUAAGUCCCGCAACGAGCGCAACCCUUAUUGUUAGUUGCUACCAUUUAGUUGAGCACUCUAGCGAGACUGCCCGGGUUAACCGGGAGGAAGGUGGGGAUGACGUCAAAUCAUCAUGCCCCUUAUGUCUAGGGCUACACACGUGCUACAAUGGCAAGUACAAAGAGAAGCAAGACCGCGAGGUGGAGCAAAACUCAAAAACUUGUCUCAGUUCGGAUUGUAGGCUGAAACUCGCCUACAUGAAGCUGGAGUUGCUAGUAAUCGCGAAUCAGCAUGUCGCGGUGAAUACGUUCCCGGGUCUUGUACACACC